CUGUGGGUAUGGGAGCGCCAUGGGUACGGGAGCACCGUGGGUAUGGGAGGGUACGGGAGCACUGCGGCUAUGAGAGCACCGCGGGUACAGAAGCACUGUGGGAGUUAGCACCCUGGAACCGUGGAUGAAAACCCGUGUGUGUGGGAUGCGGAUACACUUACACACAUGUAAAAUAGUAUUGGGGGUGCUGUGUGGGCGAGAUGGGAGCCGGGGUCAUGGUCCUUUGCCUGCAUACUUCUCCUUGGCUGCGGAACUUGGAACGUGUCUCAGGGAUCCCAGGAGGUGCAGGUGUUCUACCUCUGAGUUUGCCCUGCUCCCUGGGUGAGUGCCAAGCCCCUGUGAGAUCACCUGGGCUAACUUCUGCUUUUAUAAACCUCAGGUGUGGCUGGGGACGGGAUGUCACAGGCACCCCAUCUCCCCAUCGGGCCACAGGAGGCUUGGCCUCUGUCCCUGCCGGGAGGGCCGGGCAGAAGACGGGCGACCCACACAGCUGGCACGUUGUGAGGGCUUGGAUGGAGUCCUGAGGCUGAGGGAGAUGGAGCAGUCUCUGCGGAGGAAGUAGGCAGCGAGGUCAGCCAGCUUCAAGUGCGGGACCGCUGAGACCCUGUGCAUCCUCGUCAGGAACGGGGACCAGGAGCAGCAGCGUCGGGUCGGCUCGGAGUGAUGGAGUGUGUGGUUGUAGUUACGGUAAUGAGCGCCCCGGAGAGUCUGUGCACUGAGGCCCUGGCCUGGCCCCGGGGGGAUGGGGAGGGGACAGGGCGGGCCCUGGGGGGAUGCGGAGGGGGUGGGGCUGGCCCCGCCCGUGCUGCCGGGAGCUUCAGCCCUCCCCAGGCCCAGUUCAUCCGGUCUGCGCUUUUAAGAGUGACCAUCGGGCGGUUUUCCCACUGGAACACAUAAGGCGUUUGCUGCUAGAACGCACAGCCAGCCUGACCCCAUGCCUGCCAGCCAGGCAAAGUCUGGGGUCUGCUUGUGGGGACGUUGCCUCUGCAUGGCCUGAGGGAAGGUUUUGGGAGGGUUCUCACUAAACGGGAAAGGGAACAGGACCACUCCAGGCCCAGCCUUUGUGCCGCACGUCCUUAUUUCUGCUGCUCUGACGCCGCGUUUCACCUUGGCCCUGGGUUUUAGUAUCACCCGAGUGUGAAUUCUGGAGGCCCAGCAGCUGCCUUCCACAACCUGAGACGCCACCUGGCAGCCUGGGCAAGGCAGGGCCUGCAGGGCUAGGGCCGGCGACCUGGGGGCUGUUCCUGAGGCUCCCUCUGGGCAGGGCUGAGUCUGGAGCCGGCUCCACUUGCGCGUCUGAAGCUCCGUCUCUUUGGGCCUGUGGGCCCUGCCCACCUUCCUCCCUUGGCACUGCAGCCUGUGGGGCACAGGGUCCCCACCUCUGCCCCCCUUGCUGUGUGGUCUUCUGGCUUCUCCGCAUGGGUCCAGGCCACCGCUCCGUGGAUCUUCAGCCCUCCCCGGCCUGGGUUCCACUCGCUCUCCAGACGCAGCUUGGGCAAGGGGGUGUCUCUCCCCUUUGCCACUUCCUGGGUGCUCCUGUGGUACCUGCCUGUUCCUCCGGGGCCACGGCAGCCUUGGGGUGGGCUGGAGUGACCCCCCACUUCCUGCUGUCAGACCACCCCCCAUCUGGAGGCAGGUCAGAGACGUCUCAGGUUCCUUUGUGCUCCGAUCUGCCUGAUGGGGGCGUCGUGGUAUCCCCAGCCCUGUCAGGAGUUGUGAUUCUUGAAGCCAUUGUGGGUAGUGGUUUCUGAAUGCAGGUUUGAUAGAUCAUGUGUGCUUCCUGUAUAAUCUCCAGGGUCGUGUUUAAGAUGACGUAUUUAAAAUGUGCACACACACGUACUUAACAGAUACCCAAAAAACCA
rnacentral:lncRNA from 1 species